UUUUUUUAAAUUUGCUAGCAAACAUGAUUAUUUUAACCAAUUACACGCCUUGUUCAUUAUAUUCUGUAGUGAAUACAGCGAUUUUGCGCGGGACAUCUUUUUUUAGCUAUUUGAUUACUUCAGGGUUUGGUCAAACAUAUUUUUCUCGUGGUCUUGGUUAACAGAAUUCUUAUAGAUACAUUGUCUUAUGUCUCCUUUUUUACCUUCACAAGUCAUGGAAGAUAGCUUAUGAAGGAUUCGACGACGCGUUGGCGCAGCGGUCACAGCACUGCAUGUUACGUAGGGUUUGAUCCCGCACAUGAGAAGCAUUUGUAGCGGCCAUAUAGUUUUUCGUGGUCUGAGCAUUUUGCUUCUGUAUUGUGUAUGCUUCCGGACCCGUGUGUGUGAAACGUUUAUUUAUUUAUUAAUCUGUUAAAAUAUUAACUUAUUCUGAAUUUAUCGUAUAUUUUUCAUCCAUUUGAAUAUCUGUAUUAAAAGUGCAGUUUCCCUUGUACAUAACGCUUAGAACUAUCUUAAAAUCAAAAUACAUUAGUCUGUUUUAAAAUAGAUCGCUUAAGGCGGUUCAGUUAUUAUUAUCUCUCUCACCUGUCGGAUCUCCAUCAAGCUAAUUGUUUUGUAUUUGCCAAAGUAUUUUCUGGGUUUAGGCUUUUAACUAAUUACGUAUGUUAUGUGAUAAUAUAAAUAUGAUGUUGAAUAUGUUAAGCAAGCAAUUUGAUUUAUAAUACAAUACAAUACAAAUAUA